rnacentral:lncRNA from 1 species
UAGGAAUCCGCACCCGUGUCUGCAGGCCUCCGGCUGCUCCUCGGUCUUGCUGCCCUGUGAUCCCUGCCUGGCUGUCCGGGCUUCUCUGAGGAUGGAUCCCAGACGCCAGAGUCCCAGGUCAGCUCCGUGGGUCCUGUAACACACUGUCACGUCGAUCUCUGCAGAGCGCACGGCAGCUCGUUCACCUGGCAACCCCAGGGUGUUGUCACCGGCAACAGCUAGAGUGACGAAGAAGUGCUGGCUGAUUCCAAACGAGCCCGGCUCCACCGUGGGGUCUCUUCUUCCCUUGGCCCCUUUACACAUCAGCACACAAGAGUCUCGGGGGCCUGUGAGCUGGGCCUGACGCCACUGUGUCAGCCACCCUGGGCCGGGUCCCCCCCUCCAGCCACCAGCUGAGUGGCCACGACCCUAGGCAGGUCGUCUGGCCUCCGUGUGCCUCAGUCCCCUCAUGUUUCAGAUGGUGCCCACAACGGAGGACAUCUAUGAGGACUGCUAUGGACCAGAGGGCACAGCACAGGGCCGGGCAGGGACAUCAGUGGCCUCAAAGGACUGGGUCUCCUCUGAUCUUUGUUGUAGGUGCUGUCUGCCCUUUGGACACUGACCGUGGAACUGCCUUAUGGACUAUUUUUGAGAUACAGGAUGUGUUCUUCUUCUUCUUUUUUUUUUUUUUUGGUAUGGGGAAUUGAACUCAGGGGCACUGGACCACUGAGCCACGUCCCAGCCCUAUUUUGUAUUUCAUUUAGACACAGAGUCUCACUGAGUUGCUUAGUGCCUCGUUUUUGCUGAGGCUGGCUUUGAACUCGUGAUCCUCCUGCCUCAGCCUCCUGAGCCCCUGGGACUACAGGCGUGUGCCACCACCUCUGGAGAGAUCC